CCGGCGGCUGCGGCGACUCUCGGUGCCGCGUGGGUUCCGCUGGUGGCCCGGCUUCUGCAGCCCGCCAGCUGCCUCGCGGACCAGCAGGCGGCGGUCGAGGCUCGCCGUACUUCGGCCCUCCUCCCAGGGCGCCGGCCCUGAAAGCCUGGCUUCCUCCACGUUCCGGUGGAAGACAGUUUGCACCCUGGGAGGGCUCGCGAGAAAGCUGAGCCUCCUCAGGUGCCUGGAGCCGGAUGCGGACGGGGUAGGGCGAGCGCACGUGGAGCGUGUUUACAAAUAGAGGCCGCGGCGCCUGCGCCUCGUAGCGCUGGCCGGCCCCGCGGAACGAGCUGGAGCAAAAGGUCGUGAGGCAAGCAAGAUCCUGAACCCUAGCUGUGCUGGAUGCAGCAUUCUGGUGCCCAAAUAGGAAUCCGGAGAAGAAGAUUCGCCUGAGUGAAAAACGAAGUGAAAAAGGAAAAGUGGAAAUUCAUCAGAAAGGUGGAGAAGUUCACCGUGCACAAAACCUGUACCAGCUUCGGAGUUGCGAACCAAAAUUCCUCCAAGCCCGUGUGGAUUCUUGCAACAUGAAUCUGAGAGAGGACCUUGCACCUGGAGCCUCAUCCUGUACCUGCAGCUGUAGACAGUUGACUACUCCAGCCACAGAUGGCAGUAGCCCCAAGCAACACACUGAAAAUAAGAAAUGGGAGGAGAACCAGACAGAGGAGAAACAGUCCAGAGAUGACCUGGGGGAUGGUGAAGAAAUCUUGUCAUGCUAGCAGUCAUCAGUUGUGCAAUGGUGCAGGUUGCCCUGGACAAAGCCAGAGAAGGUCAGACCUGCAUUGUCAUUGCCCACCAUUUGUCUGUCAUCCAGAACUCGAAUAUCAUUGCUGUCGUGUCACAGGGGACAGUGAUUGGGAAGGGAACCCAUAAAGAACUGAUGGCCCAGAAAGGAACCUACUACAAACUAGUUCCUUAAAUGCCUGGCAGCAAGUUAAAAAGGACAUAAAAGAAAAUCCUUUUCAUUGAAUCUCCCUACAUUUGCUUUUUAGCAUAACCACUAUUGUCUGUCUCAUUCUUGUUCUUAUAUGUUUAAUUCUAGUCUGCAGGUGCGGAAUGAAAAGUCUUAAAAGGACUCAAGCCCUGUAGACAGCAUACACCUUUCUAGAUUUAUUAAGAAAACAAAAAGGGGGAAAUGCCAGAGGCUAAAACCAACAGUAAUUAGCAUAUUAUGCAAAAAGACCCAUUGGAAGGCCAAUGGACUUGGAUAUUCAGCAGGGCUGAAAAUCAGCAUAAUAUUGCCCUACUGCAGGCUCAAUGGUUGAAGGCAAUUCCCUAACCUGAUAAUCCUUUUACUGUUUACCAAACUUUACCUUUGAUGUGUCUGUAUGCAUUCCUAAAGGGCAAAUGUUUAUUCAAGUGAAUAAAAGCUGACAAGUCCAGGGUUUGAAUGAGCUUCUCCUCUAGAGAGAGGUUUCCACCUGGCUCCCCAUGCCUUCUAAAUUCG